CCUACGGGAGGCAGCAGUGGGGGAUAUUGCACAAUGGGGGAAACCCUGAACCAGCGACGCCGCGUGAGUGAAGAAGGAUCUAGGUAUGUAAAGCUCCAUCAGUAGGGAAGUAAAUGACAGUACCUGACCCAGAAGCCCCGGUUAACUACGUGCCAGCAGCGGCGGUAAUACGUAGGGGGCAAGCGUUAUCCGGAUUUACUGGGUGUAAAGGGAGCGUAGACGGUUAUGUAAGUCUGGAGUGAAAGCCCGGGGCCCAACCCCGGGACUGCUUUGGAAACUGUGUAACUGGAGUACAGGAGGGGUAGGCGGAAUUCCUGGUGUAGCGGUGAAAUGCGUAGAUAUCAGGAAGAACACCGGUGGCGAAGGCGGCCUGCUGGACUGAAACUGACGUUGAGGCACGAAAGCGUGGGGAGCAAACAGGAUUAGAUACCCUUGUAGUC
rnacentral:rRNA from 1 species